UACGGCCACAUGACGUUGAAACACCUGUUCCCGUACGAUUAGCAAACUUAAGCAACGUUGGGCCCGAUCAGUACCUAGAUGGGUGAACGCUUGGGAAUACUAGAUGC